CUUAUCAAUUAAGACAUUUCGUAUCCAUUUUGAAAUAUGAAGUUACAUGCAUGAAGAAGUUUGUCUGACGUAUAAAAAUUGAAAUAAAGCAUGACGGGAGUUAAGAGAAAAAAGGCAGUAUGGCCAUCUUGCGAAAUAGAAAAGUCAUGAUGACUUAAUGAAAAACAAGUCAGGAUAAAUUAAUAACUAAAAAAUGCAGGACAGAAUAGAGUGUAAAAUUAAAAAAAAAAGCAGGACUACAUUUACAUUGAGAUAUCAUUGAAGAGGGGCGUACAUCCUCUACGCCCCCUCUGAAUCUGCCAC
rnacentral:lncRNA from 1 species